GGGAUCUUAGCUCAGCUGGGAGAGCACCUGCCUUACAAGCAGGGGGUCAUAGGUUCGAGCCCUAUAGGUCCCA
rfam:Herbinix sp. SD1D isolate SD1D genome assembly, chromosome: I